AGGCCUAACACAUGCAAGUCGAACGGCAGCACAGAGGAGCUUGCUCCUUGGGUGGCGAGUGGCGGACGGGUGAGGAAUACAUCGGAAUCUACUUUUUCGUGGGGGAUAACGUAGGGAAACUUACGCUAAUACCGCAUACGACCUACGGGUGAAAGCAGGGGACCUUCGGGCCUUGCGCGAUUGAAUGAGCCGAUGUCGGAUUAGCUAGUUGGCGGGGUAAAGGCCGACCAAGGCGACGAUCCGUAGCUGGUCUGAGAGGAUGAUCAGCCACACUGGAACUGAGACACGGUCCAGAUUCCUACGGGAGGCAGUAGC
rnacentral:rRNA from 2 species